rnacentral:tRNA from 1 species
AUUUAUAUAGUUUAUUUAAAACAUCAUAUUUUCAUUAUGAAAAAAGAAAAUAUUCUUAUAAAUU